AACGUAGGGGACAAGCGUUAUCCGGAUUUACUGGGCGUAAAGCGCCCGUAGGCGGCCUGACAAGUUGGACGUGAAAGCUCCUGGCUUAACUGGGAGAGGCCGUUCAAAACUGUCAAGCUAGAGUCUGGAAGAGGAGAGCGGAAUUCCCGGUGUAGUGGUGGAAUGCGUAGAGAACGGGAGGAACACCAGUGGCGAAAGCGGCUCUCUGGUCCAAAACUGACGCUGAGGGGCGAAAGCGUGGGGAGCGAACGGG
rnacentral:rRNA from 1 species